GGCAGGCCUAACACAUGCAAGUCGAGCGGCAGCACAAGUAAGUUUACUUAUGAGGUGGCGAGCGUUUUUACAGGUGAGUAAUGCCUAGGGAUCUGCCCAGUCGAGGGGGAUAACAGUUGGAAACGACUGCUAAUACCGCAUACGCCCUACGGGGGAAAGGAGGGGACCUUCGGGCCUUCCGCGAUUGGAUGAACCUAGGUGGGAUUAGCUAGUUGGUGAGGUAAUGGCUCACCAAGGCGACGAUCCCUAGCUGUUCUGAGAGGAUGAUCGGCCACACUGGGACUGAGACACGGCCCACACUCCUACGGGAGGCAGCAGUGGGGAAUAUUGCACAAUGGGGUAUUUUUUGCUCCCACCCACGCCGCGUGUGAGAAGAAGGCCUUCGGGUUGUAAAGCACUUUCAGUAGGGAGGAAAGGUUGUAAGUUAAUACCUUGCAGCUGUGACGUUACCUACAGAAGAAGGACCGGCUAACUCCGUGCCAGCAGCCGCGGUAAUACGGAGGGUCCAAGCGUUAAUCGGAAUUACUGGGCGUAAAGCGUGCGCAGGCGGUUUGUUAAGCGAGAUGUGAAAGCCCCGGGCUCAACCUGGGAAUUGCAUUUCGAACUGGCAAACUAGAGUCUUGUAGAGGGGGGUAGAAUUCCAGGUGUAGCGGUGAAAUGCGUAGAGAUGGGGAGGAAUACCGGUGGCGAAGGCGGCCCCCUGGACAAAGACUGACGCUCAGGCACGAAAGCGUGGGGAGCAAAAAGGAUCCGAUACCCUGGUAGUCCACGCCGUAAAC
rnacentral:rRNA from 1 species